rnacentral:rRNA from 1 species
UACGUAGGAGGCGAGCGUUAUCCGGAUUCACUGGGCGUAAAGCGCAUGUAGGCGGUUGGACAAGUCCUGUGUGAAAUCCCCCGGCUCAACUGGGGAACUGCACAGGAAACUAGCGGGCUUGAGUUCGGGAGAGGGAAGCGGAAUUCCUGGUGUAGCGGUGAAAUGCGCAGAUAUCAGGAGGAACACCGGUGGCGAAGGCGGGUCUCUGGGCUGACACUGACGCUCAUGCACGAAAGCGUGGGGAGCAAACAGG